rfam:Schistosoma mansoni, Puerto Rico, WGS project CABG01000000 data, contig: 0062
AUCCAACUGACGAGUCCCGAAUAGGACUAAAUGCACUUUCUGUAU